AGGAUCCUGAAUGGGUAUGCUUUUGAUAUGUUUUCACCAAAUUGUGUAAUUCAGGAUCAUCUUCCUCACUUGGGAGGAUUAUACCAGAUCUCUCAGGAGGGGCGUGGCAAAAGACUACUUGUCUGAUCACAUUCAACUGGUUCACAAGUAUCUUCACAGGUCAAUAAGGAAAACAUGUACUUUGCUCUGACUGUUUGUUGAAAAAUACAAUUUUUUUACAGGUAUUCUGCUGGGCUCACGAUCGAAUCGUCUUCGCACACGCUCUUGGCAUUUUUCACUGAAACCCAAACCCACUGGAUCGAAGGAAUCCACGCGGAUGGAGAAAAUAAACAGACCUCCUGAAAGAGCAGAAAACCGAAGUUAUAGUACCUUCCCUUGUCCCCUGGGGGAAUUUAUUCGCCUCAUGAUUCGAAAGUACUCGUACUUUACUGAUUUCAUUAAGUUAAGAAACAAAAGACAAGCAACGCAAUUCAUGUUGUAUUUGCAAAACCUUUGCUUCGCUGUGUAGGCUACGAGUAGUCCCUUCUUUUCGAAGUCCGUCGUGCAAGUCGAAAAAAAAUCAGCCAAAUAAAAGUUGAUGAUCGCGCGCCCCGCACAACUCUGGGAGUACUCCUCACUCCCAGAGUUCCGUGCGGUGCGCUAACAAUAUUUUUUUCACUUAAAAACUAUUUUACUUGUUGUCUGUUCACCGUAUAACAGUUGCCGUAGCCAUUCAACAACACAAACAAAAAUCCCCGAACUGAAAAUUAUCACAAGGUUAUGUGAAAAUUACCUUUAAUAACGGGAAAAAUGGGGACACCUGUGUUGGUCUCGGGGAUGACCCGAAAGUGUUUUGAGGGUUUCCCGAGGAUAUCCCGACGGUAUACAGACAGAGUCUUGGGGGUAAAGGGCUUCUGUCAAGUGCGCUAAGGGUGUCUCGUGAGAGUUUACAAACUUCAAUACGUAAAGCUGUGGUCGUUAUCCUCGU